rnacentral:rRNA from 1 species
GGUUGCGAUCAUACCAGCACUAAUGCACCGGAUCCCAUCAGAACUGCGCAGUUAGCGUGCUUGGGCGAGAGUAGUACUAGGAUGGGUGACCCCCUGGGAAGUCCUCGUGUUGCAACCC